rnacentral:rRNA from 1 species
UAAUACGGAGGGUGCAAGCGUUAAUCGGAAUUACUGGGCGUAGAGCGUGCGUAGGUGGUAUGUUAAGUUAGAUGUGAAAGCCCUGGGCUCAACCUAGGAACUGCAUUUAAAACUGGCAAACUAGAGUAUAGGAGAGGAAAGUGGAAUUUCAGGUGUAGCGGUGAAAUGCGUAGAUAUCUGAAGGAACAUCAAUGGCGAAGGCAGCUUUCUGGACUAAUACUGACACUGAGGUACGAAAGCGUGGGUAGCAAACAGGAUUAGAUACCCUGGUAGUCCACGCCGUAAACGAUGACAACUAGCCGUUGGGAGGAUUUACCUCUUAGUGGCGAAGCUAACGCGUUAAGUUGUCCGCCUGGGGAGUACGGCCGCAAGGUUA